rnacentral:lncRNA from 1 species
GACCUUUUUCAUAAGUACAUGGCACUAUAUACAUUCCAGAGGAAGGACCACUGUCUACACAUGGUGUCAGGGGAGGGGUAGGGAGACAGGACACAGUCAGGAGGGGUAGGGAGACAGGACACAGUCAGGAGGGGUAGGGGAGACAGUACAAACCUAGUGGACAGGAACAGUCGUAGGGGAGGAGACAGUCGAGGGAGAGACAGGACACAGUCAGGAGGGGUAGGGGGGACACAGUCAGGAGGGUAGGGAGACAGGACAAGUCAGGAGGGUUAGGAGACAGGACACAGUUUUCCCCCCCAGGCAAAGGGUAGUAGGGAGACGGACACAGUCAGGAGGGGUAGGGGGACA